UCCCCUAGUAACUGCGAGUGAAGCGGGAAAAGCUCAAAUUUAAAAUCUGGCGGUUUCACCGUCCGAGUUGUAAUCUGGAGAAGCGUUUUCCGUGUCGGACCGUGCACAAGUCUCUUGGAACAGAGCGUCAUAGAGGGUGAGAAUCCCGUUUAUGGCACGGACAACCGAUACUUUGUGAUACGUUUUCUAAGAGUCGAGUUGUUUGGGAAUGCAGCUCAAAAUGGGUGGUAAAUUCCAUCUAAAGCUAAAUAUAGGCGAGAGACCGAUAGCGAACAAGUACCGUGAGGGAAAGAUGAAAAGCACUUUGGAAAGAGAGUUAAACAGUACGUGAAAUUGUUGAAAGGGAAACGCUUGAAGUCAGUCGCGUCUUCUAGGACUCAGCCUUGCUUCGGUUAGGUGUACUUCCUGGUUUGACGGGUCAACAUCGAUUUUGAUCGACGGAUAAAGGAGAAGGGAACGUGGCACCUCCGGGUGUGUUAUAGCCCUCUUCGUAUACGUCGAUUGGGAUCGAGGACUGCAGCACGCCCUUGUGGCCGGGGGUUCGCCCUACGUAUCGUGCUUAGGAUGUUGACAUAAUGGCUUUAAGCGACCCGUCUUGAAACACGGACCAAGGAGUCUAACAUGCUCGCGAGUGUUAGGGUGGAAAACCCUUGCGCGUAAUGAAAGUGAAAGUUGGGACCUCUGCGAGGAGGGCACCGACGCCCGGCCCUGAAGUUUUCUGACGGUGCUGCGGUAGAGCGCGUAUGUUGGGACCCGAAAGAUGGUGAACUAUGCCUGAAUAGGGCGAAGCCAGAGGAAACUCUGGUGGAGGCUCGUAGCGAUUCUGACGUGCAAAUCGAUCGUCAAAUUUGGG
rnacentral:rRNA from 1 species